UGGCGGACGGGUGAGUAAUGUCUGGGAAACUGCCCGAUGGAGGGGGGUAACUACUGGAAACGGUAGCUAAUACCGCAUAACGUCGCAAGACCAAAGAGGGGGACCUCCGGGCCUCUUGCCUUCGGAUGUGCCCAGAUGGGAUUAGCUAGUAGGUGGGGUAACGGCUCACCUAGGCGACGAUCCCUAGCUGGUCUGAGAGGAUGACCAGCCACACUGGAACUGAGACACGGUCCAG
rnacentral:rRNA from 1 species